UAAACUGUUCCCUUGGUUUCUUUCUCAACACAAAGGAAACUCUCACUGACUUGACAUGUUCUGGUUUUGAAUUCAGGCUACAAGGGGUCAUUGCUCGAAAAUUAGUCUCUCUGGGGAGAGAGAGGAGAGCGGCCCUGCCUCUAAAAUGAGUCUCUCUGCGGAACAUGACACCAACGUUAAGAGUCCAAUCCAGCAGGAGAGACCAGCCUCCCCUGUUCCCAGCUGUGUGUCCAUGCAGAGUGACCGGUCUAUUAGUCUACCUAUACUGUUUAGAUUGGGAGACCUUUCUGCUGA